rnacentral:rRNA from 1 species
AGAGUUUGAUCAUGGCUCAGAACGAACGUUAGCGGCGCGCCUAACACAUGCAAGUCGAGCGAGAAAGGGCUUCGGCCCCGGUACAGCGGCGCACGGGUGAGUAACACGUGGGUAACCUUCCCAAGAGCGGGGGAUAACAUUCCGAAAGGAGUGCUAAUACCGCAUAAGACCACGGUGUCGAAAGACGCUGAGGUAAAAGCAGGCCUCUAUACAUAAGCUUGCACUCUUGGAUGGGCCCGCGGCCCAUCAGCUAGUUGGUAGGGUAAUGGCCUACCAAGGCUAAGACGGGUAACUGGUCUGAGAGGAUGAUCAGUCACACUGGAACUGAGACACGGUCCAGACUCCUACGGGAGGCAGCAGUGGGGAAUCUUGCGCAAUGGACGAAAGUCUGACGCAGCGACGCCGCGUGGGUGAUGAAGGCCUUCGGGUUGUAAAGCCCUGUGGGGAGAGACGAAUAAGUGCGGGCUAACAUCUUGCAUGAUGACGGUAUCUCCUUAGCAAGCACCGGCUAACUCUGUGCCAGCAGCCGCGGUAAGACAGAGGGUGCAAACGUUGUUCGGAAUUACUGGGCGUAAAGCGUGUGUAGGCGGCUUUGUAAGUCGGAUGUGAAAGCCCCGGGCUCAACCUGGGAAGUGCACUCGAAACUGCAAAGCUUGAGUAUCGGAGAGGUUGGUAGAAUUCUCGGUGGAGAGGUGAAAUUCGUAGAUAUCGAGGGGAAUACCAGUGGCGAAGGCGGCCAACUGGACGAAUACUGACGCUGAGACACGAAAGCGUGGGGAGCAAACAGGAUUAGAUACCCUAGUAGUCC